rnacentral:rRNA from 1 species
GAUUAAGUUAUUAAGGGCGCACGGUGGAUGCCUUGGCACUAGAAGCCGAUGAAGGACGUUACUAACGACGAUAUGCUUUGGGGAGCUGUAAGUAAGCUUUGAUCCAGAGAUUUCCGAAUGGGGAAACCCAGCAUGAGUUAUGUCAUGUUAUCGAUAUGUGAAUACAUAGCAUAUCAGAAGGCACACCCGGAGAACUGAAACAUCUUAGUACCCGGAGGAAGAGAAAGAAAAUUCGAUUCCCUUAGUAGCGGCGAGCGAAACGGGAAGAGCCCAAACCAACAAGCUUGCUUGUUGGGGUUGUAGGACACUCUAUACGGAGUUACAAAGGACGACAUUAGACGAAUCAUCUGGAAAGAUGAAUCAAAGAAGGUAAUAAUCCUGUAGUCGAAAAUGUUGUCUCUCUUGAGUGGAUCCUGAGUACGACGGAGCACGUGAAAUUCCGUCGGAAUCUGGGAGGACCAUCUCCUAAGGCUAAAUACUCUCUAGUGACCGAUAGUGAACCAGUACCGUGAGGGAAAGGUGAAAAGCACCCCGGAAGGGGAGUGAAAUAGAACCUGAAACCGUGUGCUUACAAGUAGUCAGAGCCCGUUAAUGGGUGAUGGCGUGCCUUUUGUAGAAUGAACCGGCGAGUUACGAUUUGAUGCAAGGUUAAGCAGUAAAUGUGGAGCCGUAGCGAAAGCGAGUCUGAAUAGGGCGUUUAGUAUUUGGUCGUAGACCCGAAACCAGGUGAUCUACCCUUGGUCAGGUUGAAGUUCAGGUAACACUGAAUGGAGGACCGAACCGACUUACGUUGAAAAGUGAGCGGAUGAACUGAGGGUAGCGGAGAAAUUCCAAUCGAACCUGGAGAUAGCUGGUUCUCUCCGAAAUAGCUUUAGGGCUAGCCUCAAGUGAUGAUUAUUGGAGGUAGAGCACUGUUUGGACGAGGGGCCCCUCUCGGGUUACCGAAUUCAGACAAACUCCGAAUGCCAAUUAAUUUAACUUGGGAGUCAGAACAUGGGUGAUAAGGUCCGUGUUCGAAAGGGAAACAGCCCAGACCACCAGCUAAGGUCCCAAAAUAUAUGUUAAGUGGAAAAGGAUGUGGCGUUGCCCAGACAACUAGGAUGUUGGAUUAGAAGCAGCCAUCAUUUAAAGAGUGCGUAAUAGCUCACUAGUCGAGUGACACUGCGCCGAAAAUGUACCGGGGCUAAACAUAUUACCGAAGCUGUGGAUUGUCCUUUGGACAAUGGUAGGAGAGCGUUCUAAGGGCGUUGAAGCAUGAUCGUAAGGACAUGUGGAGCGCUUAGAAGUGAGAAUGCCGGUGUGAGUAGCGAAAGACGGGUGAGAAUCCCGUCCACCGAUUGACUAAGGUUUCCAGAGGAAGGCUCGUCCGCUCUGGGUUAGUCGGGUCCUAAGCUGAGGCCGACAGGCGUAGGCGAUGGAUAACAGGUUGAUAUUCCUGUACCACCUAUAAUCGUUUUAAUCGAUGGGGGGACGCAGUAGGAUAGGCGAAGCGUGCGAUUGGAUUGCACGUCUAAGCAGUAAGGCUGAGUAUUAGGCAAAUCCGGUACUCGUUAAGGCUGAGCUGUGAUGGGGAGAAGACAUUGUGUCUUCGAGUCGUUGAUUUCACACUGCCGAGAAAAGCCUCUAGAUAGAAAAUAGGUGCCCGUACCGCAAACCGACACAGGUAGUCAAGAUGAGAAUUCUAAGGUGAGCGAGCGAACUCUCGUUAAGGAACUCGGCAAAAUGACCCCGUAACUUCGGGAGAAGGGGUGCUCUUUAGGGUUAACGCCCAGAAGAGCCGCAGUGAAUAGGCCCAAGCGACUGUUUAUCAAAAACACAGGUCUCUGCUAAACCGUAAGGUGAUGUAUAGGGGCUGACGCCUGCCCGGUGCUGGAAGGUUAAGAGGAGUGGUUAGCUUCUGCGAAGCUACGAAUCGAAGCCCCAGUAAACGGCGGCCGUAACUAUAACGGUCCUAAGGUAGCGAAAUUCCUUGUCGGGUAAGUUCCGACCCGCACGAAAGGCGUAACGAUUUGGGCACUGUCUCAACGAGAGACUCGGUGAAAUCAUAGUACCUGUGAAGAUGCAGGUUACCCGCGACAGGACGGAAAGACCCCGUGGAGCUUUACUGUAGCCUGAUAUUGAAAUUCGGCACAGCUUGUACAGGAUAGGUAGGAGCCUUUGAAACGUGAGCGCUAGCUUACGUGGAGGCGCUGGUGGGAUACUACCCUAGCUGUGUUGGCUUUCUAACCCGCACCACUUAUCGUGGUGGGAGACAGUGUCAGGCGGGCAGUUUGACUGGGGCGGUCGCCUCCUAAAAGGUAACGGAGGCGCUCAAAGGUUCCCUCAGAAUGGUUGGAAAUCAUUCAUAGAGUGUAAAGGCAUAAGGGAGCUUGACUGCGAGACCUACAAGUCGAGCAGGGUCGAAAGACGGACUUAGUGAUCCGGUGGUUCCGCAUGGAAGGGCCAUCGCUCAACGGAUAAAAGCUACCCCGGGGAUAACAGGCUUAUCUCCCCCAAGAGUUCACAUCGACGGGGAGGUUUGGCACCUCGAUGUCGGCUCAUCGCAUCCUGGGGCUGUAGUCGGUCCCAAGGGUUGGGCUGUUCGCCCAUUAAAGCGGUACGCGAGCUGGGUUCAGAACGUCGUGAGACAGUUCGGUCCCUAUCCGUCGUGGGCGUAGGAAAUUUGAGAGGAGCUGUCCUUAGUACGAGAGGACCGGGAUGGACAUACCUCUGGUGUACCAGUUGUCGUGCCAACGGCAUAGCUGGGUAGCUAUGUGUGGACGGGAUAAGUGCUGAAAGCAUCUAAGCAUGAAGCCCCCCUCAAGAUGAGAUUUCCCAACUUCGGUUAUAAGAUCCCUCAAAGAUGAUGAGGUUAAUAGGUUCGAGGUGGAAGCAUGGUGACAUGUGGAGCUGACGAAUACUAAUCGAUCGAAGACUUAAUCAA